rnacentral:tRNA from 1 species
GCAGGUGUAGCUCAGCGGUAGAGCGACUCCGUCCAGCAAGACCCUCGUCCGCGCGAGCGGGCCGGCCGCAGGAUGGUUAUUGGAUACCCACCAGUCGGCCGCCGGUUCGAAUCCGGCCACCUGCU